AGUGAACGCUGGCGGUAGGCCUAACACAUGCAAGUCGAACGGCAGCACAGUAAGAGCUUGCUCUUACGGGUGGCGAGUGGCGGACGGGUGAGGAAUACAUCGGAAUCUACUUUUUCGUGGGGGAUAACGUAGGGAAACUUACGCUAAUACCGCAUACGACCUACGGGUGAAAGCAGGGGAUCUUCGGACCUUGCGCGAUUGAAUGAGCCGAUGUCGGAUUAGCUAGUUGGCGGGGUAAAGGCCCACCAAGGCGACGAUCCGUAGCUGGUCUGAGGGGAUGAUAAGCGACAUUGGAACUGAGACAGCGUCCAGACUACUACGGGAGGCAGCAGUGGGGAAUAUUGGACAAUGGGCGCAAGCCUGGUCCAGCCAUACCGCGUGGGUGAAGACGGCGUUCGGGUUGUAAAGACCUUUUGUGGGGAAAGAAAAGCAGCAGGUUAAUACCCCGCUGUUCUGACGGUACCCAAAGAAUAAGCACCGGCUAACUUCGUG
rnacentral:rRNA from 1 species